GUAGGAAUUUUGGUCUUCCAUAGCUGCAUCAAGUUGUCUGGCCUCACUGUGUCCUGGGAGCCCAGCUCUGUGAAGGACAAGGGCAUCGACCACUUCCUCCAGUUCUGGGCUGAGCCCUGGUCUGACUGCCUCCCAUUGUGCUGCAGGCCUGCCCACUGCACAGAGGCAAGAAGGUGAAGAGAAGCCUCUGAAGAGGGGAAAAAAGACAACCUCUUGAAGUGCUUCAAGUACAAGUUCCCUUUUAUAUUGACUACCACAGCACAGAAACCAGGCCAAGGAGACUUUGCUGCCUGACCCGUCUGCUAUUCCACUGUGAAAUCACAACAAUGAAUCCAGAAUAGCUGGGUAAAAAUCCCGGCCUCCAAUGCAGUUCUGUAAUUUCCUAUGAUAAAUAACUUAGACGAACACUAAUCAAAAUUACUUUCUGCUUCUACCUUAUUCAGCAAGACGAAUGCAUGACAUGGCCCCAGAGGCUGAGAUUUGUUAAUUUACAGAUGUUUUUGCUCACAUGUAUCUGACCACGUUGGCAGCUCCCCUUUUUUCUGUGUACACAGGGGUGGAAUGUGGGCUCCUCUGUCAUGGCACCCUGGCCUUCUCAUCUGCUGAUCUGAUUCUGCAACCUGGGUGCCAUCCACCACGUCUGUUCAGGUGAGCACUCUGGAUCUUUCACAUGCUGGAAAUUUACAUUACAGAAAGCAAAAGGGCUUUGGGGACUUGAAGACAGUGUUGCUGACAGUGUACAUUACUGUUCUUAUCUGUAGGCUGGUGGACAUAUGUGGUCCAGUGGGCAGGAAGAAGUGAGAAAAAUCUAUUUUUUUUUUUUAAAUAGAAUAUUUGGACCACAAGAUGAACUCUCAAGAGACUAUAGCUUGAGAAACCAUUAUCUACAUGGGUUAAAGAAUUUCAGGAAGAGUCCCCAGUAUGGCAACCAGAUCAACUAAAAUGAUGUCACUGCAGUUUUAGGACUCAGCUAAUGACAUCAGGGAAAAGGGAAGGCUAACAUCAACUGUGUGAAAUGGCAAACAUGUGAACAGGGAUUUAUAAGCUCAGACCACCACAGGCCGGCUUCCAUGUUUCCUCCUGCCUGUUUUUGUAACUUUGGAAGAAGGACCAAUUAAAAGCACCUGAAGGCCAAGUUUAUGAAUAUCUAUCUGAUGGGCCUGAGCCUUGCACGAUCACCAUAUAUGGAGCCCAUCUGAGUGGGAAGCGUUGUCCUGGAGUGAGGGCGAUUCUGCAGCACGAAUGCUAUUUCCCUUCUAGGUCUUAACCUUUCAUAGCGAGACAGACAACCAGGAAAGUAGGAAAUCGAAACAAGCUAUGUUUAGCUGAAUUUUACAUACCAUAAUCUCUUUACCAUGUCAAGCAAGGCAGGAAUGCUCAGGCCGAUCAGUUCUGGCGCAAAUCCAUUCCAGAGGAGAGUGAUUUACAACUUAGCACCGUUCUCGACUCUUCCCUGAGAGUGAAGUUAAAUGACCCAAGAAUAACAUCACUCUGCAGCAGGACUCGAGAGAAUGGUCUUCUUAAGGGUGGUCUUGGGCGUAGGUUUUCACCCGUGGAAAGUCAAGCUCAGACGCCACUCCAAAAUCCCAGUGAAGGUCAAGUCUCAUUUCUGUUUUAAGAGGUCAACAGUGUGGUGAGUUAUGAGGUCUGAGGGAGAAGUGGGGCCUGGCCCAGGGGCCUUUUGUUGCCUCUUUACCCAUGAAUCUUGAGUCAAUGCAGGCUAGUGAUACGAGGCUUGUUCCACCCACUUCUGAUGCCAAACCUUGUUCCUGGUGGUGUACCUGACAGAAAGACGUGAAGGCUCUUCGGCGGAAAGCCUAAUAUAAAGAGAUAUCAACGGUGUUGGGAGGCAGGUUGAAUGGGUGGGCCCAGGUGGAGAAAGAAACAGGGCAAAGGUUUGGAACUUCAUUGGUUAAAGUAUCUUGAUGUAAAAUUGAGCCCCUUAAAAUUGUCUGAGAGGGCCCAAAAAACCCAUCUGACAAGGCUUAUAAAUAGACGAGUGAGAUGUUGAAAUUAUUUUAAGACGGAUGCCUUUUUAAACUGUAUUCAGAACACCUUUCGGGGCUCCUAGUUGCACAGUUCCUCAGGUGGGAGGCAUUUCAUCUUCACAACAUCUGGAACUGUCAAGAAGGUAGCGCUGCCGACCUCAACAGAUGCAGGCAUUUCUGCAUGAAAGUGCACCAACAAAUCAUAUGGUAAUCGCGGAACAACACAAGUGUUUCGCAGGCAGCUGUGGAGAAACCACGGCUCUGGCAGGGAGGAAGGAACAGUUACUGUAGCCCUGGAAUCAACUCUUAAGCAACUUUCCUGCAAUUCUCCACCAAGCAGCUAAUAACUUCAAGCAAGUUUCUUUAUUAUAAUUAUUAUUUAUGCCUAGAGCACCUGGUCUUCCUAGGUGGUCUCCCAUCCAAGUACUAGCCAGGCCCGACCCUGCUUAGCUUCCGAGAUUGGACAUUGGGCUUGUUUAGGGUGACAUGGCAGUAAACCAUGGACCAUGCCUUCACUGGGGCGCGAACCCAGGACCUUCUGCGUGUAAAGCAGACGUGCUAACCGCUACACUAUGGAACCAUGUCCAAGCAAGUUUCUUUUCUAGGCUUGUAGAAGGUGACUGACAAGAAAGUCUUUUUUUUGUUGUUCAGGUAAAAUUUUCUCUGUCACGUAAAUCAGUGGGCUUGACAGAGUUGAGUAAAUUUGUAUUGUCACUCAAGGAAUGUCCAUGAUUACUUGCUUUGGGUUUUCACAGGCCUUGUUGGGGGUGGGAGUGAGGACAAAUGGGAAGUAGGGAUAGUGACAGCCCCUUGUUACAUGAAAGGGGCCACUGUGGCCCCACACUGCCUUCUCACCAUGGGCAAAGACACAUGGCAAAGUCAGACCUGUCUGGGUGCCUAGCCGGACUCUGAGAACUUAGCUGGAGAAGGGCCUUCCACUGAACACCUAAACAAAGUCGAUGAUACUUUAAUUGAUAUUUUCAGGAGCAAAGCCUCAAAUGCGCCUUAAAAACCUGUGGCUCAAUGCAUGGCUUGAGCUUUUUUUGUGUGUGGCUGCAUGCCAGAGCACUGUGGAAGAAAUAAAAGCAGGAGAACCACACAAAGGACCGAGCUGGAGCUUCACACCACUUUUCUAAUGAUGAUAACAACAAAAGUUUGAUCAAUUUUAUGAAAGCAUUUUGGACCUUUGUGGGAAGGAUGGGGAAAUGAAACUUGCCUUCGGAAGCUUUGGGAUUUAUAAAAGCCUCUUUUGUCGACAUAAUAAGGACAGACUCUUCCAGGGUGAAGGGAAAGCUGGUGCUAUGAAGAAAUCUCUGUCAUCAUCACUGUUUCAGCUCUGCUUUAAUGGUCACCACUCCGGCCAUCCAAUACAUCCUUUAAGCUACUUUCCUGGCGAGUGGAAUGGUAACUCCUGAGACUUGGGCGAUGUGGGCUGCCUGGCCCAUGUUAGGGCUGAGGAAACCCGGCUGGGCAUGACUGGGGGUGGCAAUGAUUUCAGAGGUCGAAUGUUUACACAGCUGGUGCCUCCAUGAAGCCAGUUUAGCUUAGACACUUCCAUUUGGGCAGACGGUGCAGGAAGCCUCUUGCUGCCAUUAUGUACAAAAAAGAACCUGGUUUCUUUUUCCCUUUGCUUCUUAGGGAAGGACGCUUGCUCAAGUGAAAACAGGCAACUGCACAACUUCUACCCCCCUGUGGUAACUUCAUGUCAUGACAGACACUUCUGAGACUGGGGCUUCAUUGUAUUCUUGUGUGAAACAUCACCCAAGGUUCCUGGGUGCCCCUUUUAAUCCUUGCAGUUCACGAGGCAUCUUUAGGGAGCUUUGGAGGUCCACUCCAGCAUGUAUUUUCAAAGUUUGAGAAAUCUAGGAACCACCAAUGCAGGCACUGUUGUUCUGCGUGGUAAAGUACUAAACAGGAGACAGAACCAGAACAAGCAUCAGUUAGAGCCGACAGCGACGUCCCAAGUCCAACACUCACUGAGCGGCUGGGCGUUCAGAAAGGAAAGCGGUCUGCCCACCAAAGCUGACUAAAGCAUUCGCAGGGUUUGCAUUUUCUCCCAGCCUGUACAUCUCCCAAAUGUUUCUUUUCUAUAGCCUGUCCCCCACCCCCAAUUUUAUAUGUAGCAGAUGGCCUUCAAACAAAUCAAGGAGCAGAAGCUGCAAAAAACUUAAAGAAAAAAAAGAUAGUGAAACUCAUAUAUAUCUUCAAACGAUAAGAUGAACUACAGAUGUUUGCUGAAGGGUGAUGGUGCUGCCUACAACUUAAGACUCGACGUAGAAGAGGAGUCCUUUUGCAUUUAGCGUUGGACAAGCCCAGUAGCUGUCAGAGUGUGAUUUAUGGAGGUUGUUUGUGAGAUUUUAUGUCACUAGGGGCAUGGCAAUUAACAUGCUCUGCCAUUCUGCCUGCAGAGCAUCUUUCUCUGUGGACCCAGGAGUGGAAGUUAUGAUGGAAACGUGAUGUCACUUUGCCACCAGGCAAGGAUGGACACAGCUCUCCCAGGCCCAGCCCACAAAGCCUUGAUCUUUGGGCUUUCUAACCAACUUGCUCCAGUGCCUCCCUUUCUCCUCCUUUGUAGGGUUCUUGGUCAUUGGGAAAAAAGUCCUGUUCUUACCUGACACCUGCAGUCAGAUUAAUCUCAGAUUAAGCUUGACAAAGUUACUAAAAGAGAAACAGUUGUCUGUUACAGAACCCAGCUGCAUAUACGAAACAGCUGCUCACUAGGCACGGUUUUUAAAAGAGAAAAGAAUCACUGAUGAGCAUUAAAAAUGAACAUAAAGCAUACAUGAGGAUGGUCAGCAGAGGCCUAUAAUUAACACAAUGGCUGGACCGUGAGCCCUCGUGCCAGAGGCAAAUCAUGCCUUGCUUUGUUCUGGUGUCCGGCCCAUGGAAGUGAAGUUGCAGAAGAAAGAUGUGACUGGUUUGGCCCAUUUGACACAAUUCAGGGAGAUGAUAAUAGGACAAAUAACCACACAAAGUGUCUAUCUGUGGGGGUGCAUCUAAUAUAGGCUUCGGGUUGGGGUGCAUCUAAUAUUGGGUUCAGAUUUGAGUGCUGAGUGGAUUCCAUUAACCAACUCUGGGCAGACAGAACAAAUAAUAAAGGCUUGAACAAAGCCUGCAAGGUAGUUGGCCACGGUGGAGGGAGGCAGGGCUGGCACUCUUUCACAAAAAUCAUGGCAUCUUGUGACACAGAAUUGCUGGCUUCACAGUCAGGGCUAAAGUCAGAUUGAUUGAGUGAUCUUUGGCGAGACUCUGAUCUUCUCUGAACCUCAGUUUCUUUAGCUUCAAACUAUGAGAUUUUACAGGAUUGUUGUGAGGAGUAAAUGAGGUUCCAUGCUUGGCACAUAGUAGGUACUCAAUAAAUGGUACAUUCUCUGCAUCCAGAGGGAAAUCCAAAAAAAAGAGAAGACAUGGAUUAAGGCUUGUGGGGAACAUAUAACUAUAUUGGAGCCUAAUGGAGGAACCAGAAUAAUAAAGGUAUGCUUUAUUUUUCAGUCAUUUCCCCACCCUCAGCUCAGAUCUAUUCCCUUCCCUUCUCUGUCCUGUGCUCUGGGGCCACAGUGGCUGACUUGCACUCCAUCUCCUAGGCUCCCGGCCUCUGGCUUCUACUUGGGUUUGGCCAGUUCCACCCUGCCUCUAGCUCUGACCAGUCUCCAGAAAACCAUUCUCUUUAGGGAAAGGGGUAGAUAUAGUUUCUUCUUGUUGUUAAUCUUUGGGGCUUUGAUUUCCCAUAGUGGUUUUUCGAGCACUAGCCAUAUUUCUGUAAAUGGUUUCAUUAUUUAAUUCUGUUCGGAAUUUAAUAAAUCAUCUGAGUGUGUUUUCUCUUUCCUGCUGGGAGACUGAAAAAGAGUGUGACUGGAUGCAGACAGAGUCAAUCUAGGAAGACUUCCUGGAGGAGGGUGUCUCUUCUCCAGUGUUUUGGAGGAGAACCACAGUCAUUUGAUAGAGGUGUAGAAUAGAAGGCUGGUGUUCCUUUUAGAGAGAGUGGAGUCAUCAAGUGCUCAGAAGUAAGAAUCUGCAUGGGCUCUUCAUGGGGGAUGGUAAAGGCCAUGAUCAGCAGGACAUCCGUGCAAAGUCAGAAAGGAGGAGAUUUAUUUAUUGUCUACUGUGUGACAAGUAUGCACAAUAGUGUAAGAGGUAUUAUUAUCACUGUUUUCCAGGUGAGAGAUGGAAGCUGAGAAAGGGUAAGUAGCUUGCCUGAGGUCACAUUAUGCAUUGGAGCUGGGAUCCAUAAGGCCUGCUUUGUACCCAGGCAAGGCUGCCCAAUGGUCCUGGUCUGCCUGGGUCGAAGGGGGAUCUGUGGCGGUGGGACUCUCACUACUGAAAGAUUUAGCAGGUGGCAGUGGAGAGUUAGUGAAAGUGGGCAUUAACAUUCACCCAUAAAAUAAAUUUUCUUACCUCAGAAAACAAUCUAAAGCUGAUAAGUAAAAGCGGAAGCACCUGAGGGAGAAAGAAGUACGAGAACAAGAACUACCAACUCAAAUCAAGCAGGGAGGUGGUGCAGUCAGUCCAAACAACAAACGCAGCAUUUGGGAGAGCGAUAUCAUUUUUCCUCUUAUAGACUUAUCUUUGCAAUUCUUUUUUGGCUCCAACUAGUACAAAUGGAAGGUGCAUUCUUAAAGCACAGGAUAAUGUGGGCAUAGGGCCCAGAGGAGAAAAGGUGUUGUCUGUAUUCUGUGAGCAUUGAAGGAGAGGUCGGCCUCCUGAUGGGGCAAAGCACAAUCUCAGGGGUCUUUGCAGGUAUGAAUACUACCAUGCAACAGAUCUGCUGUGAACGCAAAAUCAGGCAAAUAUGUGACGGAUGGCGAAGUCUGUGAGGCUGCAAGAUCAUCAUGGUACACCAGGGUCCCCCAUAAUACCAACAAGGAAGCUAACACUUAUGGAGCGCCUUCUGCUUUGCUCCAGGUGUUUCAUAGACAGUGUUUUAAAUACUUAGCAAAAUCUUUCAGAGCAGGGGUUAUUAAUCCAAUUUUCAAGAUGAGGAAACUGAGGAAGGGAGGAGUUAAGGAAGUUCUCCAGCGAUCUCUAGUGUAAAACCGUCAGGUCUGGGCUCAUAGAGAUAUUUCUCUGGUGUCAAGUCAUGAACCAGGCUGCAGAUGCACGGCAUCUGAGUGUUCAGGGCUCUGAUGAUGGCUCUGAUGAUGGCUGCACUCAGUAAACAUUCAUGGGGUCCUGGUGUGUUCUACCAGUGUGGGGUAGGUUCCUGGAAUUGUUGGAGAACUUAGAUGUUUUUUUUUUAUGUUCUCCACUACUCCCAUAAUAACUCCCUCCAGCUACACUGUAUUUGCACAUACUGUGACCCCUGCUGGAAUGGCCUUCCUUCUUUUGACCAUCUGGAUAGCCUCUACCCGUCAUUCGAGACUCGGCUCAAACACCUCCUCCAUGGAUGAGGCUUCCCACAUCCACCCCCAAUCUGGGCGAAGUCCCCUCUUCUGGAGUUUCCUCCCAUCCCAUAUGGAGUAUGACCCCCACACUGAUUAGUCUAUAAUCUUCUGAUGACUUGUCUGCCACCCCACUCCAACUGCAACCCCAGACUGUGAGGUCUUCAAGGAAACUCACUGUGGUUUCUUCGAUUGGUACAGGAAGAUACUCAACACUGUUUGUUGAAUGAAUUAGUAACAGAGGCCAGAGUGUCCCAGGAGCUCUGGCUGGGGCUUAUUGAUCUCUAUCAUCUCUGAUUGUUGCUAGUGGGCCCUCCUCAGCGUCUUAAGUUUGCUUUGUGCUGGAUUUUCCCAUGCAUGCUCCUGGAAUCAUGCCUUGUGGACCCUCAGUGAGAUACUUCUCUAUUUUGGUGCAGUUUUUCACUAGUCAGUGACAACACUGGAUUCCCCGUUUGGUGUGCUCUUAAUUAAUGGUGAUGAUUUGGAAAGGGAGAAAUGGAGAGGCCACCAUAAUUUAUACAGGGAUGGCUGCCAUCUCGUGUUAUCAAUCUCCCAAGGUUUUAUUAAAGAGACCUGUAAGGACAGAGAGACUUCAGAUGCAAGAGAAAGUAUUUUCCACAAGCCUCUUCUCUGGAAAAGGAUCUAUACUCUAUUAAUAUGUGACUGUUCAAAUCCAAAGAGAAGAGUUAAUUCACAAUUUCCAUUCAGCCUCAUGUGAGUCAUUCAAUUGUUUAGAGAGAACUUUCUGCUUGGUUCCCUUCAAGCAGUUGGCACCUCUGAUGCAGGGCAGGAGUCCUUGAAAGGCUGGGCUCCUGACAUGCUCUACCACUUAUCACCUGGGCAGCACUGUGUGGGAGCAUAACCCUUUUGCGUUUGGCAUCUAAAAUGGCGAUGAUGAUGAUGGUGAUGAGCGCCUGUCAGUUUUCUCUGUAGAGCAGCAACCUGGAUUGAACAAGGCACACACAUACUUUUCAAUGAUAAAUGUACACAUUCUCAUUUUAGUGGUUAACAUAAAAGCUAAAGAACCAACUUGGACAAACAAUUCUGCUUUAAAUGCUUCUGUUUUGUAAUAUAAGUAAGGCCCUUCAGAAUCACAAAUCACAAAGCUACUCAUUCUUUCUGUAUCACAGAUGCUGCCCUCCUGCCCCAGCCUUGGUACUGUUUUUAUACCUUUGAGGGGGUGUCCCAGGGAAGGACGGAGCUCCAACAAGGGCUGAUGUGAACCACUGAACCCCUGGCACACUGCAUUUUCUACUCCAAUUCCAUUAGUUGUGUUAGAUGUUUGUUGGCCUUUGUAUCUUGAUCAGGAAUAUUCCCUUGUGAAAGUGCUACUGGAGUUUGGCUUGCUGAUGUUGGCACUGUAAAUAUGAUUUAAUUGAUUAAUAGGCAUUAAUGAUGAUAAUUAAGGCAUAACUUGUUAGCUGGAAAAAACUCUCACAAAAGCUUGUUGUUAUUUAGCCUAUAAAUGGAAGGAUAGCCUUAUUUCUGAUUGUUCUCUCUUGUCUGUGGACUGUAGCCCCAUUGUAGGGUCAACUGCCUUCUGCAAUAUGGGUGAUCCAUAAAAUAAAAUAUAUAUAUUACUAUAUUACUUAUAAUCCAUUUAUUGCACUUUCCACUGAAGAAACUGUGCUUUGUCAAUAUGAAAUGAGUCCUUAAUAUCUGAUCCUGUGGUUGGUAUAGGAGGUCUACUCAGCAGGUUUCAUUGUCUAUAAAAUUCUGGGCUUCUAUUCAUUCAUUCUUUUUUGAUUAUUUGAAACUUUACUCUGCUGCUAACACUCAGGAACAAUGUAAUAAGUAACUUUCAAUUAAAGUUUUCUAUAUGUGGCAAAAAUCAUAAUGAAUGAAUAAGUAAAGACCGCAUAAUGGAAGCCUAUUAGCUAAGUGAAUAUACUCUUUUAAGUCAAAUUUCUAUACCACUUUUAUAUUAUCUCCCAUCAGAAGAGAACGUGCAAUUACGAAUUUUAUCUUAUCUCAGGCUUAUUAUUAAAGAGUAGUAAAGGAAACUUCAUUCCAGGAGCCAUAAUGUGAUUUUUGAUUAAUGGGGGAUUCUUAUGUGACAAGAAUAUUUCUCUUAGGCAAAGUACGCACAUGGAUUUCUGCCUGAGCUGACUUGUAACUGGAAGCUACAUCUCAGGUGUAGGAACAACCGUUCAACAAUAGAACACAUGUUUCUACACAGGGAUCAGAUUCUUAAGGUACUCCAAAGCAUGAGAAGGGCAGGAGAAAGUUGAUGUUGGCUUUGCAGACACCGAUUUUUGUUUAGUUGGUUCCAAUUAUACUAUCAAACACAACGUUGAUUCGUGUGCAAAGGAUAACAUGAGCAGCCCACAAUUCAUGGUCUCUAGUCAUUUCUUUCAGCCUCUGUUGGAAGCUUUAGCAUUAAAGCUCCUCUGCACAUCCCCUGCCGACGCUAGCAGGAGUCUAGGCGUAUUCUGGGCACACCACAGAUCUCUGUGAGUGGAAUGACCCAAAUGUCAGCACUUUCUCCCACCACCAACUGCACAUGGAAAUAAUUUGAAUUGGAAUUCUAAUCCUUCAAGCCAACUUUUCUCAGAGAGCUGUUCGAAGGAAGGUCACCUGGGAACUUGCCUUUUGGCUCUGAGUGACAUGUGUUUAUGCCAGUGGCCAGGGAGCAUUAGGUAAGGAACAAGGGAACGGCUGUCCUAGUCACCCUGCAGCAGACCCAAGGUCAGUGCCCUUCUUUUCUCACGGUGUGGCAGGGCCCUGUUCCUCAGAGCCCAGAUGUUUCCAUUGGCUCUGGCUUUGCUUUUACUAGCUAUGUGACACAGCAUCUUAACCUCUCUGAGCCUCAGUUUCCUCAGUUAAAAAAAGUGAUCCCACCUCCUUGGGGACUUAUUGUGAGAAGUGAGGGAGACAGUGUUUCAACACAUAAGCAUCACUAUACUGAGUGAAGCAACCACUCAGUAUUGAUCUAAUGGGUUGUAUCUCUAACAUGGCUUAAUUCACAUUGUGUUUUCUAUGUUCCCUGUCCCUCUCUGCUGCUCUGCUGGUCAUUGUCUCCCAACCCCAGUGUAGAUGUGGCCAGUACAGGGGACCCACACCUUUGACAAACUCCUGGGAUGGGAUCUAAUUCUAUGAAGACAAUUUAUUUUUUAUCAUUUAGCAGAAUAGCUUAAAUGCCUAAAACAUCACAUGCCCUUUGACCAGUUUUACUUCUAGAAGUUUAUCAUAAAGGAAAUAAUUGAGCAAGCAGAAAAGGUAUAGAUGUACGAAUGUUCAUUGCAGCACUGUUCAUAAGAGCAAACAAUUGGGGCGAAAAACAGUGGGAAUUGCUCAUUAUAUACUGUGGUGCAUUUAAACUAUGGGAUCUUUUGCAGCAAAUUAAAGAUGAAGUUGUAGAAGAAUAAUAAAGGAGUAGAAAGAUAGUUAUGAUUUGGUAGGUGGAAAAUCAGUUUAUAAAACAAAGUAUGCCAUACAAUUCUUUUUGAAAAAAAAAUAAACAAAUUUAGGAAAAUAUAC